rfam:Gossypium hirsutum cultivar TM-1 chromosome 15, whole genome shotgun sequence
AACCCAUGGUGAGGGCACCUUCUCAGUAAGUCCUUGUAUCUUUCCCAUACAUUGUAAAGAGAUUCUAAGUCCUUCUACACAAAUGAAGAGAUAUCAUUACGUAAUUU